rnacentral:piRNA from 1 species
UAAAAGGAUCAUUUGACUCCCAAAGGGGU